GGCACUGAAGCAUUGUGGGUAAAGUGCUGGAUUUGGAGUCUGGAAAUUGUAGAUUCAGAUCCUGCCUGUGUUA
rnacentral:tRNA from 1 species